rnacentral:rRNA from 1 species
GACGUAGGGGGCGAACGUUAUCCGGAAUUAUUGGGCGUAAAGGGUGCGCAGAUGGUCUGACAAGUUAGCAGUGGCAAAUCGAGGCUCAACCUCGUGGAAACUGGUAAUACUGUCUGACUCGAGUACAGGAGAGGUUAACGGAACUCCAUGUGGAGCGGUAAAAUGUGUAGAUAUAUGGAAGAACACCAAUAACGGCGAAGGCAGUUAACUAUUCUGUUACUGACAUUGAGGCACGAAAGCGUGGGGAGCAAAACGG